UACAGAGGUCCCGAGCGUUGUUCGGAUUCACUGGGCGUAAAGGGUGCGCAGGUGGCUUGGCAAGUUUGAUGUGAAAGCUCAGGGCUUAACCCUGAAAUGGCAUUGAAUACUGUUGAGCUGGAGGUUUGGAGGGGGGACUGGAAUUCUUGGUGUAGCAGUGAAAUGCGUAGAUAUCAAGAGGAACACCAGUGGCGAAGGUGAGUCCCUGGACAACACCUGACACUGAGGCACGAAGGCCAGGGGAGCAAACGGG
rnacentral:rRNA from 1 species